rnacentral:rRNA from 1 species
CCUACGGGAGGCUGCAGUGAGGAAUAUUGGUCAAUGGGCGCGAGCCUGAACCAGCCAAGUAGCGUGAAGGAUGACUGCCCUACGGGUUGUAAACUUCUUUUAUAAAGGAAUAAAGUGAGGCACGUGUGCCUUUUUGUAUGUACUUUAUGAAUAAGGAUCGGCUAACUCCGUGCCAGCAGCCGCGGUAAUACGGGGGAUCCGAGCGUUAUCCGGAUUUGUUGGGGUUAAGGGGUGCGUAGGCGGUUCGUUAAGUCAGUGGGAAAAUUGAGGGGCUAAACCCCUUCCCGCCAUUGAGACUGGGGGUCUUGAGUGGAGGAGAGGUAUGCGGAAUGCGUGGUGUAGCGGUGAAAUGCAUAGAGAUCACGAAGAACCCCGAUUGCGAAGGCAGCAUGCUGGCCUCCGACUGACGCUGAGGCACGAAAGCGUGGGGAUCGAACAGGAUUAGAUACCCCAGUAGUC